rnacentral:rRNA from 1 species
ACGGGUGAGUAACACGUGGAUAACCUACCUAUAAGACUGGGAUAACUUCGGGAAACCGGAGCUAAUACCAGAUAACAUGUUGAACCGCAUGGUUCAACAGUGAAAGACGGUCUUGCUGUCACUUAUAGAUGGAUCCGCGCCGCAUUAGCUAGUUGGUAAGGUAACGGCUUACCAAGGCAACGAUGCGUAGCCGACCUGAGAGGGUGAUCGGCCACACUGGACCUGAGACACGGUCCAGACUCCUACGGGAGGCAGCAGUAGGGAAUCUUCCGCAAUGGGCGAAAGCCUGACGGAGCAACGCCGCGUGAGUGAUGAAGGUCUUCGGAUCGUAAAACUCUGUUAUUAGGGAAGAACAAAUGUGUAAGUAACUAUGCACGUCUUGACGGUACCUAAUCAGAAAGCCACGGCUAACUACGUGCCAGCAGCCGCGGUAAUACGUAGGUGGCAAGCGUUAUCCGGAAUUAUUGGGCGUAAAGCGCGCGUAGGCGGUUUUUUAAGUCUGAUGUGAAAGCCCACGGCUCAACCGUGGAGGGUCAUUGGAAACUGGAAAACUUGAGUGCAGAAGAGGAAAGUGGAAUUCC